GGGUGCGAUCAUACUAGUACUAAUACACCGGAUUCCAUCAGAACUCCGCAGUUAAGCGUGCUUGGGCGAGUGUAGUACUACGAUGGGUGACCUCCUAGGAAGUCCACGUGUUGCACCGC
rfam:Gossypium raimondii chromosome 6, whole genome shotgun sequence.